GCCUCGUCUCCAUCCAACAAGAAGAGAAUGAGUCACUAUACAACCACAUUGUCCAUUUUAAUACUAUCAUGUUGGAGAUGUGCAACUACAACAAGUAGAUAGCGAUGUAGAUACUCAAGUGAGAACUAUAGAAUGAGCACCUCAUCUUCUCCUUGACAAAACUUUUUUGAGGGAUUAUGCAAACCUAUUAGCUCAAGUCUAAAAGUAUGUGUAGGUGG
rnacentral:lncRNA from 1 species